rnacentral:lncRNA from 1 species
GAAAGAGAGAGGGAGGGAGGGAAGGAAAGGAGAGAGAAAUACCCACUUGUCUGUAGCAGCAACAUGCCAGCCCCUAGUUAUGGCUCAUGCCCACUUGUAUUUUUCAUACUCUACUUACAACCCAAUAGUGGGUCAUGAAAUUAAUUUAGUUGAUGAUGUGACUAGUACUUCAAAAAUGCAAGGGAAAAUACCAGUGUACAGCACAAAUAGUAAAUAUAAGUUGUGUUUUGUGGAACUUUUUGUUUGCAUUGUUUAUGUUUCAGUUAUGUGUGCUUCUUACUGUGGGUUACAGUUAAAAAAAACAAAACAGCUGUCUAAGUCUUGACAAUCCUUUUCAUAGCUUUUUUUCAGUGAAGCUAGAAGUGGCCAUACGACCUACUUCUGGACGCAGAGAUGGGGGAAGGUGUCCUGGGGGAGGAGAGAUCUGAGGGAUGGUGAAGAUAACUUUUGCUUUUCUGGUAGAAAGAACAGAUGUCUCUCCUGCCUGCCUGUCUCAAAUGAGGACAUGAUGUGUAAUGUCUGGAGCACUGGCAGCCAUGUUGAGAUCAUAAAGCAACAUGUCCGCAUGCUGAGGCUGGCAGAGCAUAAAGAUCAAAGGUGUCUGGAUCCUUCUUAACAUCAUGGAGCUUCUGCACCAACCCUGCACUGCCUACUCCAGACUCCCUACCAUGGAGAAAAAUUAGCCCCUAUUUCUUCAAGGCAGAGGUUGGUAAACCUUUUCUGUACAGGGCUGGAUAGUAAAUAUUUUAGGCUUUGUGGGCUAAAUGGUCCGUGUCACAACUACUCACCACUACUGGGGUAGUUUGAAAGUAGCCAUAGACAAUAUGUAAACCAAAGGACAUGGUUGUGGUUCUCAUAAAACUAUUUUAAAAAAUGGAUGGCAGGGCUAUAGUGUGCCAACCCCUUCCCUAGAUGAUCUUGUCCCCUAAUUGUCUCUCUGACCUCAUCUCCUCCUACUGCCUCUCCUUCUCCCUGCUCUGAUCACACUGUUUCUCCCACACACCCAGCCUGUUCCUGUCAGGGUCAUUCCUUCCCUUGGAGGGCUCUUUCCCCAGAUGUCCACAGCGCUCCCUCCUUCCCCUGCUUCAGGUCUUUAAUCACAAAUCACCUCCUUUUUCAGGUCGUCCCUGGGCCCUCUGUAAAAUGCCCGUCCCUGACCCACGCAUACCACUCUGGCAUGCUGUAUAUUCCAGUCUUUAUCAUGAGCUCCUAGAGGAAGAGACACUAUGUUUCCUUAAAAACUGAUUCUGUCUGGAUUGUCACAGUGUUUAAUCAAUAUCUGAUGUAUGAUUGAUUUUUUUUUUUUCUUUUUGCCAGAUUCAGGUAAGAAAACAAACUCAGGGAGGCUGAGUUCCCCCUCCAAAUGACAUGUGCAGAUAGUGGCAGAGUCCAGGUUUGUGCCUGAUGGCCCAAUGUGGUGGUGUCUGUACCACCCGGGAGUGAGGGAAAAACAACAUCUACCUCUAAUGGAACACACUGGGUCUCAGGGGAGCCAAGGCCACACAGAAGUUCCUGCAAGACUCCUUGCUCCAGGGCGCCGCCCCAGUAAAGGAGGCCUUUGGGAGUCCAUUAAGUGAGCAGGGUGUCCUGUUCGUCUUGGGCAAUUGCAUUCUUUUUGGCCUUCCUACCUCAGAAAGACUUAGGAAAUGCUGUUAUUCUGCAAACAGUUUGGACUGACUUGUAAGAUCCGUAAAAAGACAAAUGGAAACACUCAUGAGCCAGUGUUUUUAUGAAAGAGCCGCAAAGGAUAAAUUUAUGUUUAAUUCGCAAGUAGGGAAGCUCAUAAGAGCCUAAGAGCUUGAUAAAGGCUACUGGGCCCAUCUGUCAGGCAGGCUGCUCUGUGUGGUUUUGGCUUGAGGCAUCUUGGCACCAGGGCACAGCUUCCAAAAGACCGAAAAAUUACCUUCUUCCCUUUGGUGCUCCCAGGGGGAAAUGCCUGGGUACAAUCACAUGUUGUUGAGAUGUCAUUUAGAUUUUUGAGUCCUGAAAAAUAGGUUUAUAUAUCUUGAUGUAAAUGAUAUUAAUAAUGAGAACCAUUUUCAAGCCAUUCUCUUAAGACAGUAAGUGGGAUUUUGAAUUAAUUUCUGAUAGAUCUGAUUGAUUCCUUAAGGCCUUUUAUGGAUGGCUUCAUGUGAUUUUUUCCCCCUUCAUUGUAUCCAACAUUAAAUUAAAAACAAAUGACUUUUAUUUCUCUUUCUUCUUUUUCUUUCUCUUUCUUUCUUUCUUUCUUUCUUUUUCUUUCUUUUUCUCUUUCUUUCUUUUUCUUUCUUUCUCCUCUCUCUCUCCCUUCCUCCCCCUUCUUUCCUUCCUUCCUUUCUUUCUCUCUCUCUCUCCUUCCUUCCUUCCUCUUUCCCUCCCUCCCUCCCUGCUUGCUUGCCUUCCUUCCAUCCCCUUCCUUCCUUCCUUCCUUCCUUUCUCUCUCUCUCUCUCUUUCUUUCUUUCUUUCUCUCUCUCUCUGUCUCUCUUUCUUUCUUUCUUUCUCUCUGUCUCUCUCUCUCUUCUUCUUUUUUGGCAAGUCUUGCGUGCUCUGUCCCCUAGGCUGGAGUGCAGUGACAAUCACAGCUCAUUGCAACCUCGACCUCCUAUGCUCCAGCGAUCCUCCCACCUCAGCCUCUUGAGUAGCUGGAACUAUAGCCAUGGGUCACCACACCUAGCUAAUUUCUAAAUUUUUUGUAGAGACAGGGUCUCUCUAUGUUGCCCAGCUGGUCUCUAACUCCUGGACUCAAAUGAUCCUCCUGCCUCGGCCUCCCAAAGUGCUGGGAAUUCAGGCGUGAGCCCUGAUGCCCUGCCACAAAUGACCUUUUCAAGCAAUUUUUCAAAAAGUCUGUGUGAUUCCAAAUGUGUAUUCUUUAGAAAACAGUUGAUGAUUGUGCGUGCUUGGCAGGAAGAGACCACGUACAGAACGUUUCUUGCUCUGUUUGCUUUGGUGAAAUCCUCGAGCAAUGAGGUUAUCCCAUUGCAUGAUCUUAACGUACAGAAGACUUUGUAUUUACCAUCAAUUUUCAGGUGAAUUCUCAAAAAAUCUGCAUACCACUUAUCUUUCCUUUCUAUGUGAAAUAGUUUUCAUUAACUCCAUUUGUUAGCAUAUAAAUAAUAACUUUAGGUUAAUGUAUUUUACUCUUCAACCCAUACCAGAGGCAGGCUAGAAAUGAUAAUUUAUUCUCCAAAUGCACAUAAAGUUUAAUGAUGUAUGCUGCAUAAGUGCCUUCUUGUUAAACACACACACACAAGUGCACAGAUUUUAUGUAUUAUUUUUCCAUUAUGAUUAUGCUUUAGAAAAGCCUUUGCAUGCCACCCUGCAGAACUAAUAAGUGCCUGAGCACAGAGUUUCCUAGGAUGGGGGGAGCUUGCUUUAAAAGAUGGUAUAGUUAAAAAUUGCUGCUGAAACUUGCUUUUGAGGAAAAAAUAAGUACUUGGCUCAAGCACUUGGUCUCUACUUGGUCUCUGAGAAAAGGGUAAGCUAUCUAACACAUGUCUACUCCAAACACAUCUGUGAGGACAAGGAUGGUCUGAAAGCCCACAUGCAGAGAACAUAACUAGGCCUGGUUUGUUGAUAGCUUUUUCCCUUUGUCCUCACCUCCCUAUCUUCCUGCUACUGGAAAUUAUUUAUCUAUCUAUCUAUCUAUCUAUCUAUCUAUCUAUCCAUCCAUCUAUCUAUCUAGAUAUAGAUAUAGAUUUAUCCAACAGAACAAAGGCUGGAAAAGGACAUCUCUCCACUUUCCUAGGCUGCCCCUGCCUCCCCAGGACUGUGUCACCUCCCCACCCAUCCACACUUCACCACCCUUCUACCUUUGCCUUGGGCUGUUCUCCUGUGGGGCACAGAGAGUGUGGGGCUCCUGGUAAGCUGAUUAUUAUUAAUGGGCGUUGUAACUGCUGUGAGUUGAUAACAUCUUAAAAAUAAGACAAAAAUAAUUACGGUGAUGCAAGACUCCUGAACAAACUGCAUUUUCAAUAUAACUCUAAUUUUAACAUCAGAAAGCAGCUUUAUGUUGGUCAAUAUUUUGAUCAUUUAACAAACAGCAGCACUGUAAAAGGAAAGUAGGCACAAAACAGUUCAGUGUAGGAGGGUUUACAGAAGGACGGCGCUUCUCAAAGGAGAAUGUCUUAAAAAUGGAUUUUCCUCCACAAAGAGCCUGGUGUUGCAGCUUGGGCUCCAGAAUUCUUAUGAAUGGUGAGAUAUAACUGAGAUGCAAAGCUGUGAACUAGUAAGUGAUCAGGACCUUCCCUCAAGCCAGGAUGUGAAACAGCCAAAGGAAGUGGAGACCUCCCAGAUGGAAAAGGAAAGGAACCUUGAGAGGGCACAGCACAUAUGCACAAACAAGGGCGAUCUGUCCAGCUCCUGGACUGCACAUUUUAAAACACACCAUCCUCAGGGUAUUCUGGGAAAACCCACCAGCCAGACAAUGUGGCUACUCCCAUGUCCUGGAGGGAAGCUCUGUCCUGUCUAUCUCUUUUAAGUAUGCAGCUUCCAAGGAAUGUAAAACAUUCCCCAAGGGGGAAGGGCCAAACUGCCCCACAGCUAGCUAGACUUGACCUGUUAACCCUGUGUUUAAAGAUGCUUCAGUUGAGUUGACCUCACCUCCCAGCCUGCCAUCAAAGCCACCUCUGUUCAGCCUCCCGUUUGAUGGGGGCUGCCCAUGCCCAAGCUGCCUUCCCAGUCCUCCUAACUGUGAACUAAGGACUAGUGUUUAAGAAAGGAUAGAGCCAUGUAAUUGCAAAUUGUCUUAAGUUUUGUCUCAUUUGGGGAUCAUCUCUGUCUUUUUACCUUGAAAAUGAAUGCUCUCAAAAUAAUGAAUAAGCUGUCGACCUUACAACUGAGACAGAAUUAGAAUGAUUAGUGUAUUAAUCAGGGUUAUUCCAGAGAAACAGUAUAUAUAUUUACAUAUAUCUCCCAUUGAGGUCAAGAAAGACAUGGGUGUAGCUAGCUAGGUAGUUCACUAUACAGCUAGAUAGAUAGAUUAUAAGGAAUAUUUGGCUCAUGUAAUUGUGGGCUGCCAAGUUCAAAAUCUGCCGGGCUGACCCCAGCAGGCUAGAAAUUCAGGUAAGUUGAUGUUACAGUGUUGAGUCUGAAAUCUGCAGGCCAGCAAGGUGGAAACUGAAUCAGGGUUUCCAUGUUGCAGUCUUGAGGCACAAUCGCUUCUUUUUCAGGGCACUUCAAUCUUUGCUCUUAAAGCCUUUAGUUGAUUGGAUGAAGCCCACCCACAUUACAAAGGGAAGUCUUCAUUACUCAAAGUCUGCUGAUUUAUAUGUAUGUGUCAUCUGAAAAAAUACCUUCACAGCAACAUCGAGACUGAUGUUCGAUCAGACACACAAUAGGCUAACCAAGUGGACACCUAGAAUUAACCAUCACAACCAGUAAGCAUGGAGAGUUUGACCCACAGCUCGUACUCAUGUUUUAUCAGGACAGACUCUGUAGCAGAGUGUGGCCUGAUGCCAGGGCAUUCCAAGGUUCCUUAGCAUGUAACGGUGCCUCUUUUUCCUGGGAUUUCAUCUACCUGUGCAACCUGUGGCAAUUUUUGAGAAAUUUUUGCUGCUCCAUUGGUCUAAUGAGUCGACCUUAGGGAUUGGCAAACAUUUUCUGUAAAGGGCCAGAUAAUGAAUAUUUUCCUAUUUGCAGGCUGCACUAUCUCUCUUGCAACUGCUCAAGCAAAAGCAACCAUAGGCAAUAUGUAAGUGAAUGAGUGUGGCUGUGUUCCAAUAAAACACUAUUUACAAAAAUAAGCAGAGGGCCUGAUUUGGGCCAUAGGUGAAGAAGAGUUUAUAUGGUAUCUCCCUUUGGCAGGGAUAUUUUCUCCCCGCCAAACAUGGUGAAGGGCGUGGAUAAGUGACACUCUGGGCUGGGAUGCUUUUAGUUGUGAGGAGUAAAAAACCCAAACAAUGGGGAUUUUAUGACCUCACGUAAUAAAAAUCCCCAGCAAUGGGUAGCUCCAGACUUGGUUUAUUCAGUGUCUCAAAGUAAUCUUGAAGGACCCAAGUUCGUUCGUUCUUUGCUCAUUGCCAUCUUCAGCAUAUUGGUUUAAUUCUCCUUGAUAUUUGCAAAUGAUUUCUGUGCUUUCCCUCAGACAUGCCGACAUUCAGGGGAAGAAGAGGAAGAGUGUUCCAAUGAGGCUCCGUUUAUUUUUUUAUUUUUUGAGACAGGGUCUCACUCUGUUUCCCAGGCUGGAGUGAGUGGCACGAUCACAACUCACUGCAGCCUUGACCUCCCAGGAUCAGGUGAUCCUCCCACCUCAGCCUCCUAAGUAGUUAGGAUCACAGGUACAUGCCACCACACCUGACUAAUUUUUUGUAGAAACGGGGUCUCACUUUGUUGUCCAGGCUGGUCUCAAACUCCUGGGCUCAGGCAAUCCUCCCGUCUUGGCCUCCCAAAGUGCUGGAUUUACAGGUGUGAGCCAUGGCGCCUCACCUGGGGAUCCUUUUAGUACUGAGGGAAGGAAACCUUUCCCAGAAGCUUCCCAGUCACCUUCCCUUUCUUCCCAUUGGCCACGACUAGGGUGCAGGCACCUUGGGAAGGGUGGACCACUGUGACUAACCCAAUGCAGGACAUGGCUGGCCAAGGGGAGGAAGGUACAUGAGCCAGGACAAUUCAAGCUCCAUCAGAAAACGGGGUCAAUAGUAUCCCCUGGGAGAAGCCGUGCAAUGCCUGCCACAACCCUGCAGAGUCCCAGCAGCUGAGGGGGUCUAUUCCAGGGGCGAGAUCACGGCCUGCAAUGUGUGAGCUGGGUCUCAAGAGGGAGAGAGGGAACAGGCUGGAGAGAUGGAAGUCUGGGAGAGCAGCUCCUCGGGAGAGCACCAUGCAUGAGGAGUGAGGCUUGGGGCAGCUGGGAGAGGACCUAGAGAUGGGGAGAGAGAGAAGGAGUGUGGCCAGGAGCACAGGGGGCCACUCAGGCCAGAGAAGUGGGAACUGAAAAUGCUCUGGUGAAGGGGAGAGCAGCAGCUGGGCCUGAGACCAGAAAAGCCCCCAUGGGCUGCUGGAGGCUCGGGGAGGUGGCAGUGAGCUCUGGGCUCAGGGCACAAGAGGCUUUUGGAGGCUGGGUGCUGGCUGGACUCUGUUUGCCAGCCUUCUCUGUAAGUCCCAGGCAUUAGAGCACAGCAAGCAGGAAUAACAGGAGCCCUGGGCCCUUAGAAGGAAACUGAGGAGAAGCCUGGAUGUCCAUGCUGUGUUCCUGAGUUUUAAGGUGACAUUUUCUUGGCCACUUUUUAUCUGCAUGGUGUUGGGGAGACCCUGCUGAGGCUAGGGUUCUUGUUCUGGUCUUGGAGGUGGCACGGCUGGGGCCUGGAGGGAGAGCUUGGCACAGCUCCCAGGCUCUGCUGGGGCCCAGCUCCGCUCAGGAAUUAUCAGUCACUCAGAGAAAACUCAAAGGGCACUAGGCCUCCAGCAGUCAGCAGCAGUCACAACCAAAGUGGGGAGUGGCUCCAUUUGCCUUCUCCACCUGAGCUAGUGCUCCCCUUUCUCAUGCUUCCUUUAUCCCCCACAUUGAUGAGCCACUUUUUCCUCCUCUUCAUCUGCACUGCCACACCCCACCCCGAACACUUAGCAUCCCAGGUGACUUAGCUGGAGGGAACCUGCUAUGGACUGAAUUGUAUUCCCCUAAAUUUAUAUGUAGAAGCUCUAAUCCCCAGUGUGAUGGCGUUAGGAGGUAGGGCCUUUGCAGGGUGAUUGGAUCAUUUGCAUGGAACCCUCUUGCAUAGGAUUAGUGCUUCUGUAAGCAGAGACAUAAGAGAGAUGACUUCUUUCCUCCACGUGAGACUAUAGCAAACAGGCAGCUCUCUGUGACCCAGGAAGCCAGCCCUCCCUAGAACCUGACCAUGCUGGCACCCUGAUCUUGGACUUCUAGCCUCCCCUCCAGAACUUCGAGGAAUAAAUGUUUGUUGUUUGAGCCACCCAGUGUAUGGUAUUUGUUAUGGCAGCCCAAACUGAGUGAAACAGAACCUUAGGGGUUACCUGGUCAAAACCCCCCUUGUUCAGAUGAUGAGAGGAGAGAGGCCCAGGCCAUCAGGCAGGUGAGGUCUGUGGCCAGCCUCAGACUUUAGUUUCCUGAUGGCAUUAAGAAUCUCUGCUCUGAGCCUGGAAUGAAUACAGGCUCUACCUGUUUUUAGCUGUGUGCAAAUUACCACGCACUGUGGUUUCCCAUCUAUAGAAUGGGGCUGUAAGGGACCUGGCCUCACAGGCUCUGGGGAUUAGAGGAGAUGGAGCAGGCAAAGCACUGAAUCCACUGAGGUCUCAGUGCUCUCAGUGAUUAUCAUCAUUGUUGUUGAUACGCCUGCUUGCCUUAUAUUCUUUUUACUGCACAAACGCCUUGUUACAUAUGGAAAAUAAAUCCACCUGCUUCAGACUCUGAUGGACUUGGCCAUGCUUCCUUUGUCCCAAGAUAGACAAUGAUGUGCAUGAUAAGAUUCCAGCUCUGCUUCCGAAGCUCAACUCAAAUCUACCUUCCCAGACUUCCCUCUGCCUGACUUCCUCUCUCAUAGCAUACUGUUUGUGAUUUUACUGUAGUGCCAUGUCUGCCUCAUGUCAGUCACACAUUUGGCUUGUCUAGAGAGCACACAGCAUGCCAGACUCACUCCUUCAGCCCAGCACCUUGUGUGAUGCCUGGUCCACACAGUAGGUGCUUAGUAAAUGUUUGCUGAGUUAAACCGACUUUUGCCCUUAGCAACCUAUUCUCUAAGUUUAUGCUGGUGCUGUUGGUUUAAAAGAAAGGAACAUGUUUCAAUGUGGAAAGAGGAACUCAAGACUUGGGGCCUGCAAAUACCUCAUCCAGUUUCCUGGAAGCUGGAAACUGAAGCUAUAGUGGGCUGGUGGCAUCCUCACCCCUGGCGGAGCGUGUGCAGCCUCAGGUAGAAGCACCUAUUUAGGGACAAAUGAAUAAUCAAAGGCAUGGCCCAUUUGCUUUACUCUUUAUCUGCUCUUUAAAGGGAAAUUUGAUUUGAAACUCACAGAGUCUUCCAUAUCAAUGAGGUGGUAAACAUCUGCUUGGAUGGGCUUUUGCUCCUGCCCCAGUUAUUCCCAGUACAACCUUCUGUGGUUCUGAUGCUCCCCAUUUCCUCCAGAUCCCUGUCCUGAGACUAUGCAAGCUUUCCAGAAGCUCAUACUGUAAAAAGAAUUGCACAGCAUAUGUUUAGACUCAGUGCUGGAUUUUCCUUGGGCUUGCUCUUAAGUUUGGGCAAAUGCCCCCUGGUAAUGUGCACAGCUGGGCAUCCCUGAGGCUUGGAGCUGGCAGGACCUUUUGGGAUGGCCUUAUCCCUUGGGUUUCAUGUGGGGAAUGACCCAAGACUCCAAAUCCCAGCAGAGUCAAGUGGGACCAUACUCCUGGACUCCUGACUUCCUGGAUGCUGCUAUUCUUUCUAUGCAGCUGUCUCACCCUUGUCAUAAUGGGAAACUCAGGGCAUAACAUUCCACUUAACUGCAACUUGGCUUCUCGAAAUACCUCUUCUCUUCUGUGCAAAGAUCAUGACUCGGUUCUUCCUUCUUCUGUGGACCGUAACAAGCCAUUCAGCCAGUCAAGCAAGUCCCAUGGGAAAUCCCCAUUUUGGCCAACAGAGACAGUUCCUCUUUAUCUCCCAAGAACACUACCCUUUUGCUCCCCUUUCCAGGUAGUCAAACAGCUGACUGUUCAUCAGCAGGCUAGCAGCUGAGCCCGGGGCUUUGAGGGACAGAUGACAGCUGGAUGGCUGACCAGCUUGCAGAGAAAGCUUGAAAUCUUGGGCACACAGGGAAUGGAGCAAGAGAUUUUCCCAUUUGGACAUACCAAAGGAUAAGUUCUCUUUGAGAGAUUGGUGAGGAGUGAGAUGGGGUAGAAUUCCAGGAAAAGGGAAUGAAGUUUGUUUCUCAGGCAAACAUGCCAUCAGCAAGGUAUGGGCUCUAGGCUGAGCUGACAGCAGCAGACAGGGCUUGAUGAGCGUGACUUCCAGCCUGCAGAGAGAGCUGCAUUCCUGCAAGAAGGGAGCAAAUGGCCCCAGAGCAGCUGUAGGCACCAAUGUCCCAGGAAAGAAGCAUUCCGGGGCCAGGAAGAUCCUGCCAAUACUUCACUUAUAUCAUAAUAUUUAAUUCUUAGCCAUUUGUGGAUGUCAGUAC